GGAUGAGAACAAGCGGAAGCAAUGGCUAGAUUCUGUUGGGAAAUAGCUACCUAUUGGUGCAUUCAUUUGCUCAAAGCAUUUUCCCAUUCGGUCCAUUGGUGGUCUGAAAUUAUUGAAGUAUGCCAAACCAGCAUUCAUAUUAUACUGGGUGUUACAUUCAGAAAAAUCAAAUUAAAUAUGUCUGAACAAAAUUCGAAAUAAUUCAGAGAGCUUCUCAGGAUUAUUAGAGGAUAUUGGAUGGGAAAAAACAUGCUGCAGUAAGAGUACCAAUUGUCAAGUUUGGAUUUCUAUCAAUAAAAAUAAAUGUAGGUAUUUCAUACUAUUCAAUUACAAGCGAAAAGUUGAAGACUUGAAAGCAAAAAAAUGGCCCAUACUAAAAAAAAUUAAAAUCAACCAACAAUUAUACAUGAGAAACAGAAGGAUCAACAAAUCUAUUGUAGUAAAUAUUAAAAAAGAGCUGGUAGACUCAAAAAAAAUGAUAAUUUCAUCGAAGAUCUACCAGUAUCACAACAAUAGAUGAUAAGAACUUGUUGUAUGUCAAGUCAAUGUAAAAAAAACAGGAAAAAAAAUAGUAUAUUGAUGAAAAUCAAGAGUACAAAACUCUAUAACCAUAUGAGAGAAAAUAAAAUCCGACCUUUACCGUCCCCAAGUACACUCUCAAGGUACAUCAGAAAUAUUUCCAUUUUGAAGGAAAAAACUAAAUAUAUGAAGAAAAAACAUAGAUGUCUUCUUGUUGAUGAAUGCAAGAUUUCAAAAACAAACAGAAAUUGAAAAAAGCACCAUGAAAUUUGUUGGAUUCUUCGAUUUGGGAGAUUAUACUCCUAAGGAAAUGGAAAAGAAUCUUGGAGACCAUCCUUGGUCAUAAUGUUUCAACCAUUCGCUGGUCAUGGUCUUCAAGCAUUGGCUUGUUUUCUAAGUGGAGGUGAUGUGACGGGGGAAAUUUUGGCCAGGAUAAUGUUGCCGUGUGUCAUCAUCAGUGAAAAUGAUGGUCUCUACAUAGAUGUUAUCAUAACCAGUGAUGGAGCCAGAUGAAACCGCCAGUGGAAACACCUAAGUGUAUAAAAUAGCCUACAAUCAUGGAUACCACUCGUAAACUACUAAUGUGUUCCGAUUUUCCUUACCUCAUCAGAUGUUUGAGGAAUACUUCAAUGAACAGAAAAAAAAAGAUUAGGAAUUCUGAAGGUUGGGUUAUGUUUUCCUAUGUCGAAGAACUGUUUCAGCAUGAAUUCAUCAAAGAAUUUAAGAUGGCAUUCAAAUUGAUGGCAAGCCAUAUUUACUCUUAUAAACAAGAAGAGAAGAUGAACACAAGGCUUGCAUUCCAGGAUCUUGAUACAGGUCGAAGAAGAAUUUCGUGGAUGAAAAACCUAAGGACUUGGUAUUCGACAACAACAACAUCGCUCUUCAGAUCGGCUGUCGACAAAGUUAAAAUAGCCAGGAUGAUUGCCAACACCCGGACCGGAUAGGCACUUAAAGAAGAAGAAGAUGAUAUAAUCUUGGUGUGUUUAGAUUCCUGGAAGCAAUGUUGUCCUGAAGAUUUUUUUUAUCAGAAUCUACGUUUGAAGGGUUUAAAGCAACUUUACUUGUACACUAGACCUUACAAAAUAUUUAUUUACUCUUGGUUUCAAAUACUUGAUGACAUCAAGACUGAACCAAGAUCAUUUCGAGGUGAUUAUGUUACUGUAAUAUAUAUUACAGCACUAAUUUGGGACGAUGAGAGCAGAAGGUGGAUGCAAUACUCAUCCUGAAUCAAUACAAGUUGGACAAAUAUUUCGCCUGAUGUCCCUCUAAUCGUUGGUUUUACCCAGGGGAAGAAAUGUUAGGGGGGAAAUGCUGAAAUCCCUGCUACAUAUUGGAGACCUGAAAAAAAAAGCAGAAAUUUGUUUUUGACUUGAAAUAGGAAAAAUCAUCUAUGAAAUCGAAGAGGACCUCGUAGAAAUUGAUGAAGGAUAUGAUUCUGCCUGAAAAAAAUGAAAAGGACCACCAAAUGUGAAGAAUGUGGAGAAACAAUAUUGGGGAGGGACAUUUUUUUUCGAAAUGAUUUAUUGAAUAAAACCCACAAGUACAAAAAAAAUUACAUUCACAAUCCUCUAAACAGUACCCUAAACUGGUAUCGAGGAUAGUAGAUACAGAAUUCCAUUGAAAUUAACCAGUGCCUUUGUUAGUAAAUAGAAUCUUAUUUCUUACAUACACACCUGAUGCUUGAGGAAUCGCAGUUCCACAUCAAGACAAAUUUCAGAAAUGCCAACUUAACAUUCUAUUGAAAAAGCGGACAAAAUCACAUUACACCAACUCUAAGUAUUCUCUUAUUUUUUGAUCAGAAAAUUUACCAAUUGAACUGACAGAUUUUAUGGAAGUAGGUAAUUGAUUAAAUAUUUUUGAAGCUUGUGCUAUUGGGUUAUUCAGCCCUUUUUGACUUUUUACUUUUGUCUCUUUUGAUGUGUUCUUGUUUCAUAACUAUGAAUAUCUUUCGUAAAUUUAUACUCUAUAUUGCACUUGUGUAUUUUAUUUAUGAUUUUAAAAAUUAAUUUACAUUGUCCUUAUUCUAAUAUUUCCUUCAAAUUUGGUAUUUGCAAAUCAGAGUAAAGUUGUGUAGUAUUUGUUAAUCGAUCAUAAUUAAACAACACUUUAAUAAAUUUAUUUUGUAACGUUUGUAUUUUUUUGAAGUAU